AACGAACGCUGGCGGCAGGCCUAAAACAUGCAAGUCGAACGAACCUUCGGGUUAGUGGCGCACGGGUGAGUAACACGUGGGAACGUACCUCUGGGUGCGGAAUAACGUAGGGAAACUUACGCUAAUACCGCAUAAUAUCUACGGAUCAAAGAUUUAUCGCCCAGAGAUCGGCCCGCGCUAGAUUAGGUAGUUGGUGAGGUAACGGCUCACCAAGCCUUCGAUCUAUAGCUGGUCUGAGAGGAUGAUCAGCCACACUGGAACUGAGACACGGUCCAGACUCCUACGGGAGGCAGCAGUUAGGAAUAUUGGACAAUGGGGGAAACCCUGAUCCAGCCAUGCCGCGUGUGUGAAGAAGGCCUUAGGGUUGUAAAGCACUUUCGUCCGCGAAGAUAAUGACAGUAACGGAAGAAGAAGCUCCGGCUAAAUUCGUG
rnacentral:rRNA from 1 species